UUCACAAACUUUGUGUUCGUUCCUCUUCUUCUCGCUCAGUGUUCUCUUUCUUCUUCUUUCCUCUUCCCUUUUCCCUCUCUCCACCUUCUCCCCGACACGACCACCACCCCCAACUCCACAUUCCUCCUCCGCCCCCAUUCUCCUAUCCUCCAGUGGAACCGUUAAAACCCUAACCCCCAAAAAACCCAAACCCCCCACUGUUUGGGCUUCUCGGUGGCUGCCAUUGAUGCCGACGCUGGCUUUCACAACUUUGACCUCAUCCUCAAACUCGAGAACCACGUCAACUACACCGUCAUCGAGGUCCUCAACGGUGAUUGCCGCCUCGGCCAAUCCCUCGUCCGCGACAAGCGCUAGUCCAACUUUCAGAGCAAUGUAGCGACUCUGCGAAAGUGAGUCAGGGAGAGGUUUGUCUGAGGCAGUGAAAGAGAUUCAGACUUGAAUUUUUCUAGGUCAUGGCUAGAAUUCCUUUUUUUCUUAAUUUUUUUUUAUAAAUUUUCUCUGAUGGGUUGUGUUUCUUUCGAUCUCACUAGGGUGCAAACCCGCGCUGUAUUUCUUUCUUUUCAUUCUAGCGUGGAGGUGAGUUCUACUGUUUAGGUGCAGAAAUAGUGGGAAAUUAUGAAUAAAGCAAGCUUGGUGGGUGGCAUUAUGAUUGAAACUAAGCAAGUGGAUAGCAUAAUGAUUAAAGCAAAGACCACUCUUUCCUCGGGUUAUAUUUGGUUGCUUGGCUUUGUCCUUUUUUCCUUGUCCUCAGCAUAGACAAUAAUAUGAGUAAUAGAGAACAAAAUAUUUGUCGAGUGAUACGCCGCUCAGAAAAGCGAUAGAUAGGGAAACAGCGAAGGGGUAGGCAAUAUUUUGUGGUUAGGAUAAGGUGGGUGGUUGUAGAAGCUUUGGUGAACAACAGUUGUGGUGUGUUGAGGAAUAAUUAAUUACUCAUAAAACACACAAUUGAUUUCCGUCGAACAAAUUUAUUGUAGAUUUGUGACACAAAAAUUGGAAGCUCAAUCUUCAUUUAUGGCCAAUUUUGUUUUGUUACAGCUGAGUUUGUGACAGGAUCAAUAGCAUGGCUUGGCAGAGGUCUGUCCUGAAUUUGUGCAUAGAGAAGAGAAAGCGAUGACAGACCCUCUUUUGAUUUAACUCCAGCCCAAGAGGAGUGCUUACAGAGGCUACAGAAUCGCAUUGAUAUUCCAUGUGAUGGUUCUAUCCCUGAGCACCAGGAUGCCCUAAGAGCUUUAUGGAGUGCUGCAUUUCCUAAAGAAGAACUCCAUGGUUUGAUUUCUGAGCAGUGGAAGGAUAUGGGUUGGAAAGGGAAGGAUCCAUCAAUAGAUUUUAGGUUUUACCAGACACAUUUUUUGCGUUUCUUUUAGACCCUAAUUCCCCAAGGAAACCCUUUCAAGACCUUUUACGGAAGCAUGAAGGAGAUCUAUCAGUGUGGGAAUAUUCAUUUGUUGUUGUUGGUGUUAACAUCACAUUCAUGCUUAUUCAGAUGCUGGAUCUUGAAGCAGAAAACGAUUCAGCUUUUGAUUUUCUCUAUUGCAACAUUCAAGAUGAUGGAUCAAAAUAUAUUGGGAGCAUACAGUCCAUAUUAAAGCCCAAUCCCAACCUACGUGGCAUGCCGAGAAAAUAGCCCGUACUUGAAAAGAUUCUCCACAAUGGACCAAACUUAGGAUUAGAGAGUAGAAAUCCUCACCAUUCGUGGAAGUUUCUAUUAGAGAGGUACACAUGCAUCUUGUGUCUUUCUCUCUCUCCUAACAGAGCCUCUCAUUAAAUCAAAAAAAGACUAAUCCAUAUUCUCGCCAAUCUUUUUUUUUUUCAAUUUGUUGGAAUCAAA